rnacentral:rRNA from 1 species
AGAGUUUGAUCCUGGCUCAGGACGAACGCUGGCGGCACGCUUAACACAUGCAAGUCGAACGAGAGAAGAGAAGUUUGCUUUUCUGAUCUAGUGGCGGACGGGUGAGUAACACGUGAGCAAUCUGCCUUUCAGAGGGGGAUACCGAUUGGAAACGAUCGUUAAUACCGCAUAACAUAAUUGAACCGCAUGAUUUGAUUAUCAAAGAUUUAUCGCUGAAAGAUGAGCUCGCGUCUGAUUAGCUAGUUGGUAAGGUAGAGGUUGAUCGGCCACAUUGGGACUGAGACACGGCCCAGACUCCUACGGGAGGCAGCAGUGGGGAAUAUUGCACAAUGGAGGAAACUCUGAUGCAGCGAUGCCGCGUGAGGGAAGAAGGUUUUAGGAUUGUAAACCUCUGUCUUCAGGGACGAAAAAAAAGACGGUACCUGAGGAGGAAGCUCCGGCUAACUACGUGCCAGCAGCCGCGGUAAUACGUAGGGAGCGAGCGUUGUCCGGAAUUACUGGGUGUAAAGGGAGCGUAGGCGGGAUCGCAAGUCAGAUGUGAAAACUAUGGGCUUAACCCAUAAACUGCAUUUGAAACUGUGGUUCUUGAGUGAAGUAGAGGUAAGCGGAAUUCCUAGUGUAGCGGUGAAAUGCGUAGAUAUUAGGAGGAACAUCAGUGGCGAAGGCGGCUUACUGGGCUUUAACUGACGCUGAGGCUCGAAAGCGUGGGGAGCAAACAGGAUUAGAUACCCUGGUAGUCCACGCCGUAAACGAUGAUUACUAGGUGUGGGGGGACUGACC